UAUCGUAGAGUAUAAUUUUAUUUUGAUAAAGCAAAAGGCAAAGUGUAUUUGAGUUAGUUUUGAUGUUUGAUGAUUUCUCAAACCAAAACGACAAAGGUUGCCAGUUGCCCAGUGUUUGUCAUCAUACGGUAGCAAGAAUUUAAACUAGCAGUGGACCACCGCCACCGCACCACCACCACGGCCACCCCAACCCCACCCAAUCGCAGGUUGCCCCCCUCUCGCUCUCAUAUCUGCUUCCCCCUUCUCUCAUUUAUUUUCCCCCAUUUUCAUUUGGUCCCCAUUAUUGUAUCUACGGUAAAGCAUCACUACUUCUCACUUGUCUCUCUGCGUUCCAACAUCCUCACUCAUUAUUUUCUCAUCCACCAGCUUUUAUUGCCCAUUUUAUGCUCUCAGAUCCUUCUCCAUGUUUUGACUAACCCUAGAUCUGUCCCCGCUGCAGCUGAACACACAAGCACACUCACUGCGUGUGUGUGUUUGUGGUUUUCUAUUUCUUUUUCUUUUUCCCGUCCUUUAAUUCUUUGUCUGCCUAUUUCAUUCUUCGGAUUCUGAUUGCAUCAUUUUACCAGGGAGUUAUGCAUGUGCGUGUUUCUAUGUUGCAAAAACGUGCGCCGUUUUAGAUUCCUUACUGUUGCUGUAUUCGAUCGGUUGAAAUAGGGAAAAAAAUUAUAGUUUAGAGGAGGGAGGAUGAGUGAGAAAGCGCCAAUCACGGUGGUGGGAAUAGGGGCGGAGCUGGGGUAUGGGGGGUAUAGGGCACCGCCAUUCACCGAUGUGCAGUGGAAGGAGCUGGAGCAGCAAGCCAUGAUAUACAAGUAUAUGGUGGCUGGCCUGCCGGUGCCACCAGACCUCGUUACGCCCAUUCGUCACAGCUUCGAGGGACUCUACGCCCAUCUCUUCAACCAUCCUGCCUUGGGCUAUUGUUCCUACUAUGGCAAGAAGUUUGAUCCUGAGCCGGGGAGAUGCCGGAGAACUGAUGGAAAGAAGUGGAGGUGCUCGAAAGACGCACAUCCGGACUCAAAAUAUUGUGAGCGGCACAUGCACCGUGGUCGCAACCGUUCAAGAAAGCCUGUGGAAUCUCAAUCUACAUCGCAGUCCGUGUUGACUGCAGUACCUCACUCCUCUACUGGGGGCGGUAUAAACCGUGGAAGCUCUCAACAGAUGCCAUUGUACUCUGGUGCUAAUGCUGAUGUAUCAUCUGUUGCGAGCAAUGCAACAAAGCUGCAGAUGGGACCGAUCUCCUAUGGGAUCGGUAGCAGCAGGGAAUUCAGUUUCUCACAAGAAGGUUCUGGAAGGGUGGGAACUCUGGGUUUAGGUCCUAGUGCAGGCAGCGGCACAUGGGGUCUCAUGCCUUCUCAAGUUUCUUCGAACUCCUUGUUCAAACAAGGAUCCGAUUCUCGAAUUCUAGGCAGUUCUUCAGCUCAACAAUACACACCUCAUGCCUAUGAGCCUGUCUCGUCUAAACAGCAGCACGGCCUAUUUGGGAGUGAUAUCAGUUCACCAACAACACUGAAGCAGGAACAUCUUUUCUUCAGUGAGUGGCCUUCAACUAAGGAAUCGUGGUCCAAUCUCGACAACGAUGGAACAAAUGAAAACACCUUCUCCUCGACUCAGCUGUCCAUGUCCACUCCUAGGGCAUCUUCUGAUUUUACUUCAGGAACUGCUUACUCUCCAAAUGCAGAUGGUUGAAGUUGGAUGAUGAGUGGCUGCUACUUGCUUGUGUUGUAUCUCAAGAAACGGGCAUAUAAUUGGAUUAUGUCAUUAUCGAUAGCUGGGUAAGCUCGUGGAUCAAGUGGGAUGAAAUUUUGUAUGGUUAAACGACGUUGUUUUGUGGUUGGAAAAUGGAGAAAAAAUGGGUCCCUUCACUUUUAAAAAGAAGUGGAGUGCGUCGACGGGUGCAACUGCGACCGUAUUGAAACACCUUUCUCUUUAAUCACUCGAUAGUUUUGCCAUGGCUCCUGCACCAUUUAAUAUACUCGCUGAAUUUUAAUUGUACAAAUUAUACACAAAUAUUAUACAUUCAAAAAGGGAGUUUUCUUUUGAUUGCAAA